GGACAUGGCGAUUGUCGGGGCGAAAACCAUCGAAAUGGUCAAUGGCAGGGGAGGAGAGCAAGAAGAAGAGGCGCAUCACCGACAAUGGGAUGAGAGGACGAGGAAACUAACAAUAACAAAGAAAAAUGCACACAACAAUGCUCCUCGCUCACCCCAACCAACACCAAAGUUUUAGGGCCUAACUGAGCGUCGGCUUCCAAUUUGUGCCACUUACCCCUAGGCACGCAAUGAAAUACAUACAUACAUGCGCAUGCAGAGGAGAGAAACUACGUUGUCGAAUUGUUUAUUGUAUAAACUUAUGCUGCCUAACAUAGGCGCGCGAGGAACCUGAUAUUACUCAAUAAAAUAAAUAUUUUUAAGAGAAUCAAUGGGUGUAGCUGUUAAGAGCAGUCACAUAUGAUGAAGGAGGCGAAGAAGCAUGUCAGAGAGUCAGAGUUGAGACUCAACUGUCAUAUUUGCGAUGCUAUAUAGUUUAGGAACUAGGGGUGUUUAUAAAAAGAGAAUUCGGAAAGCAGUUCCAAGCAAACGCUGCAAAGCAUAUGUAUGGUAAGUAGUAUUUAGUGUUCGAUGCUUGUCGAAAGCGUGCCCAAAUAUAGGCGUAAAUAGUACGACGAAUACCCCCGAGUAUGUUGAGCGAUUUGGGCUGCCUCUGAGUGUGCAUGCUGACUAUUAUGAGCCGGCUGGUUGAAAGAACCUAAAAGAAGAGCAGAGCGAGCAGUCAUAUGCAUACAAACAGAAAUAUAAACAAAAAAUAUAAACGUCUAUAUCGCCACAGUGGCGUCACUUCCUUUCACUCAGAGCCGACCACACAAAAUACAAACCAUUACAUCCCAGAAACAGAUACGUUUUUUGGAGGCCACUGAGUACGCUAGGAACUAAACGGGAGAGUAGUGGUGAGCUACACCAUCAACAACCCUACGCAAAACCCCCCAAACACCUCCUAUCACUCUCAGCAAUGUUGCCAAUGUCGGACGACGGACGGUAUGCUCUUACGGAAACCUACUCGCUAUCUCAGGCACCGUCGCCGCCAGCAACAUUGUAUAGAAGCGCUCAAAUCCCCCGAUGAGAGAGAAUCGUUAAAUGUGGUGGAGGCAGCGCUAUCCAUGCUGCGCGCGGAGAGUAGCACCAGCGGGCAAGAAACCAGUGGCGAAUGUUGGCGACGUAAAUAUGAGACAUAUGUAUACCUCACACAUAUAUGGUUAACUGGAACUGGAACUGGAACCGACACAAGAGGCAAUAAAAAUAUAAACAUACAUAUGUACGUACAUAUCACC